CUCGGUGGGGCUGGAAUAACAAACCCGAGCAUUUCUGCAGCACUUUCAAACUGAUUCAAAGGACAGGCAGGAGGCUUCUGCUCAAGAUCCCCAGCGCCCUGUGGGAAGCGGUGCCAACCUCGCGCUGAGGAUUCAGAAGGCUCCAUUGCCGAGCUGAAAAACCGGAGAUAAUCCACGAAGAUAAUGAAUAAAAUCUCCACGAUGCAGUGAGUGGCCAGAAGGCAAUUAACACCGCACCGAGCCUUCUCCGUGGUCAAAAUCGCUGCUUGGUGUAGUCUGCUCUAUAGACCAUGUGUCCGUCUUGGUUCUCCUGCCAGCUCUCUCUCUCUCUGCACAAUCUCACCUCUCUUCGCACAGAAGGUUCUCCUCCUCUGCAGCUCCUGCCACUGGAACAGCCUCCUUACAACCUGCCAUCUCACCCUCAUCUCACUCCAAACCUCGGCAGGAAACACCUCUCCCCUCUCUUGCUGCUGCCUCCGAACACCUCCCUAUCUCCGUGAUCGCUCUGAAGCGAAGUGAUUCAAGCUACCCUCCAUAAAACAUGGUUCCAGCUGAGCAGGCAAAGACCCGUGUGCUCCUCUGGUGAAAGGAGCUGGACUAUGGGUAAGUCUACAGUGCAGUCGGGCACAUGCAGCAGCUCGAGCUCAGGGUGCCUCCUACCUUGCCGG